GCUAGUUAUGCAUCUAACAUUUGCCCCUUGGAUUGCCUAGCAUUUGACUAGAAGUUAUGAAGUUCUAACCAAGAAGCUGAGAUGCACCUUAUCUUCUUCUCCUGGACCCCAGAGUGAAAUGAAAACUGGAGAAGAAAGGCUGAGUUGAAGGCAGUGUUUCUAGGUAGGAAGAAACUUCUCCUACUUCCUUAGCUGGGGCUUUGGAUU